CUCCGCGCGCGGCACAGCUUGCCCAGCAGACCCUGCGACACCACCUCGUCGAACCGCGCCCGGUGCUUCUUGGGGAUGAAGAUCCUGCAAGGCAAGAACCGUCGGGUCAGGCGCGACCCCUGACUGCGUUCCAAAGGCACGUCCUGGUGACUCUUCUGGCCCCUUCCCAGGGGUGACCAGGAAAAUUUCACCUUCCCCUUCGGUGAACAGACCUGUGUCCCCAGCUGUCCUAGACCUGGUCGCGUGAUGGCUGGGCAGGUAGAAGCGCUUGCUGCGGAGACUGGAGACGCGAGAGUUCGAAUCCCCGGGGACCCACAUGGCGGAAGGAGAGAAUUGACUAUCCUAGACUACACCAGGAGGGAGGCGUCCUGCUUACCCCACCUUGAGAAAGCCACACGGACUGCCAGAGAAAACUGCAUCAGCCAUCCGCAGGGGUCUGCCUUCCUCCGAGUCCCUCAUUCUUUCCGUUCUCCCGCUUGCUUCGCUGCCAGCCCUGCCCACUUGCCAAAGUGAGGGCAAUGGCCACCUCCAAGCUUUUGGCUCUGCCUGACAGACUCUCUCACUGAACCUGGAGUAAACUGAUCAGGCCAGACAGGAUGGCCUGUGAGCCCCAGGGACCCUGUCUCCACCUCCCAGUCCUGGGAUUGCAGAAUGUAUCUCCUGGCUUUCACGAGCGUGCUGGAGAGCCAACUGCAGGCCCUCGUGCUCUCAGAGCAAGCGCUUCCCCUGUUAAGCCGCCUCUCCAGCCCUAUUAUAUCAUAUAAACCUUCUUUGUGUGGGGUACAGGGGUCACACUCAGGUCUUGAGCGUAUCUUCUACCAUAGGGCUACCUCCUGCUUUUGUUUGCUUCUUUGUGGUGAGGCCUCUUCAUGUAGCUCAGGCUGGCCCUGAACCCACCCAUACACAGACUCAGACUUGCAACCCUACAUCAGGCACCUGUGUGCUGGGUUUGCUAAAAGUGUGCGCCCCCACCUUUGGUUCCAAAAACCACUGGUGUUGCUGAAAGGACAGGAGUGGAAGGAGCACAGAUGCCCCCUCCUCCAGCGCAACCCACUGUCUGGGUAGGGGGCACCGAGAGCCAGCCAGCCCCACUCCUCAGGCAGCCUGUGAGGAUCAGUUUCCUUGCUCAGGGUUGCAGCAUCGGUGAAGAGACAGGAGGCUUCCCGUCCAGACCGCACCACUUUAGUGGGGCCGGCUGUUUUGCUCUCUGCCUGGCUCACCCUUUCCUCCCCCAGAUGACACCCCCGCCCCACCAACCGUCUUUUCUGUUUCCUCCUGGACACAUCACACUUUUCCAAACUGCCUGUCCUGUCCUAAUUAGAAAGCCAUUUUACCACUUAAUCAGACUGGGAUUCCUCGGGGAACAGACCCAAAUUAGGCUCCGAGUGGCAGCAGGAAAUGCUAUUGUAAAGGAGCACAGUGCCUUUGUGUGCUGUGGCCGCAAAUCUGGACACAUUCAAGGUCUUCGCUGAUAUAUAUAUCAGAGAGAGUUGCAUGUAGCCCAGGCUAGCCUUACGCUUGCUCUGUUGCCUAUGAUGUCACUCUCUACCUCGGCCUCUCACAAGCCGCCCUCCCUGGUUUUAUGCAGUGCUGAGGAUUCAACCCAGGGGCCUUGCUGCGUGACUCAGGUUGGCCGUGAACUUGCGGUUUUCGUGUCUCAGCCCUCCCCAAGCGCUGGGAUUACUGGUGCGUGGUCACCUAACUUUGUGAAAAUGUAUACAUAAUAAAUAAGCAUCUGUAAUUAGUGGCUACUGUAGGGGAGGGCUCAGGAGCGAUCUCCCUCCACGGCUCCUCCCCCUCUGCUCCUCUCCCCUCUGCUUGGGCGGCCGCAGACACCCCAGGCACCACCUCCCGACCACAGGCCACACUUGUGUGCUGUGCGUGGGUUCUAACCUCCGUGGGAAGCUUAUUUAUUUAGAACCAGGGUAUUGAUAAACUACUCAGGUAGGCUUUGAACUUGUGAUCCUCCAGCCUUGACCUCGAAAGGAGCUGAGAUUUCAGGUGUGGCUCUAAAGAAAGCUUUAGGUGCACACACACACACACACACACACACACACACACGUCACCACCCCCAU